rnacentral:rRNA from 1 species
UACGAGGGGGGCGAGCGUUGUUCGGAAUUAUUGGGCGUAAAGGGUGCGUAGGCGGUUUGGUAAGUCUUAUGUGAAAUCUACAGGCUCAACUUGUAGUCUGCACGAGAAACUGCCGGGCUUGAGUGUGGGAGAGGUGAGUGGAAUUCCUGGUGUAGCGGUGAAAUGCGUAGAGAUGUGGAGGAACACCAGUGGCGAAGGCGACUCUUUGGCCUGUAACUGACGCUGAGGCGCAAAAGCGUGGGGAGCAAACAGG